rnacentral:rRNA from 1 species
UACAGAGGGUGCAAGCGUUAAUCGGAAUUACUGGGCGUAAAGCGUGCGUAGACGGUUAUGUAAGUCGGGUGUGAAAGCCCCGGGCUCAACCUGGGAAUUGCAUUCGAGACUGCAUAGCUAGGGUGCGGAAGAGGGAAGCGGAAUUUCCGGUGUAGCGGUGAAAUGCGUAGAUAUCCGCAGGAACAUCCGAGGCGAAGGCGGCUCACUGGACCAUAACUGACGCUGAUGCACGAAAGCUAGGGGAGCAAACAGG